rnacentral:rRNA from 1 species
AGAGUUUGAUCCUGGCUCAGAAUGAACGCUGGCGGCGUGCUUAACACAUGCAAGUCGAGCGAGAAAGGUCUUCGGACUGAGUAAGGCGGCGGACGGGUGAGUAACGCGUAGGAAUUUGCCUUUCAGUGAAGAAUAUCCUCGAGAAAUCGAGGUUAAUGCUGCAUAAGUCCUUAACGGGAGAAAGAUGGCCUCUUUGCUGUCGCUGAAAGAUAAGCCUGCGUACUAUUAGCUAGUUGGUAGGGUAAAGGCCUACCAAGGCGAUGAUGGUUAGCCGGCCUGAGAGGGUGUACGGCCACACUGGAACUGAGACACGGUCCAGACUCCUACGGGAGGCAGCAGUGAGGAAUAUUGCGCAAUGGGCGAAAGCCUGACGCAGCGACGCCGCGUGGAGGAUGAAGGUUUUCGGAUUGUAAACUCCUGUUAAGUGGGAAGAAACGACAAAAUAUAAUACAUUUUGUAACUGACGGUACCAUUAAAGAAAGCACCGGCUAACUUCGUGCCAGCAGCCGCGGUAAUACGAGGGGUGCAAGCGUUAUUCGGAAUUAUUGGGCGUAAAGGGUGCGUAGGCGGCGUAUUAAGUCAACUGUUAAAACCUCCAGCCUAACUGGAGAUCAGCAGUAGAUACUGGUAUGCUAGAGGAUGGAAGAGAGAAGUGGAAUUCUUGGAGUAGCGGUGGAAUGCGUAGAUCUCAAGAGGAACACCAAUGGCGAAGGCAGCUUCUUGGUCCAUAUCUGACGCUGAUGCACGAAAGCGUGGGGAGCAAACAGGAUUAGAUACCCUGGUAGUCCACGCCGUAAACGAUGAUCACUAGAUGUUAAUUCUGCUUGCAGAAUUAGUGUC